GGAGGAAGCAGGGGAUCGCAAGACCUUGCGCUUUUGGAGCGGCCGAUGCCUGAUUAGCUUGUUGGUGAGGUAAAAGCUCACCAAGGCUCCGAUCAGUAGCUGGUCUGAGAGGACGACCAGCCACACUGGGACUGAGACACGGCCCAGACUCCUACGGGAGGCAGCAGUGGGGAAUUUUGGACAAUGGGGGCAACCCUGAUCCAGCCAUGCCGCGUGAGUGAAGAAGGCCUUCGGGUUGUAAAGCUCUUUCAGCCGGAACGAAACGGUCACGGUUAAUACCCGUGACUACUGACGGUACCGGAAGAAGAAGCACCGGCUAACUACGUGCCAGCAGCCGCGGUAAUACGUAGGGUGCGAGCGUUAAUCGGAAUUACUGGGCGUAAAGCGUGCGCAGGCGGUUUUGUAAGUCAGAUGUGAAAUCCCCGGGCUUAACCUGGGAACUGCGUUUGAAACUACAAGGCUAG
rnacentral:rRNA from 1 species